GCCAGGCUGCAGAAUUUGGCCAUCCUCAAACACCACCUUUAAUGGCAAAGGAGGGAUGGGAAAACUCCUGAAGACCAGGUAGCCAUGGAGUGCUACAUUUCUGGAUGGAAAGGGGACCACACAGAAUCCUCUAGCUAGACACAGAGGGCUGAUUGGUACGUUUUACAAUCCUAGCUACAGAGUGCUGAUUGGUGCAUUUAUAAUCCUUUAGCUAGACACAGAGCACUGAUUGGUGCAUUUACAAUCCUCUAGCUACCCAGAAAAUUUUGCCAAGUCCCCACUUGACCCAGGAAGUCCAGCUGGCCUCACCCUUCACUUUCUGUUUCCCCAGGAUUCACAACUGGGCUCCUCUUGCUGUGUUGGAGGGAGAUGUUUCACCUGAGCACCAUGUUUCACAUGGCAGUGGGGCAAGGCACUGAGGCUGUGUGGCAUGGCACCACAGGGUGGCCACUGGUCCCUGAGUCGGCAGACCUGGCUCUCUUUUCCCUGCCAUGCUGACUUCAUGUUUAUGGCUAAGAAGCCUCUCCCAGGGAGCAGCUGAGCUUCAGGGGCAUUCCUGGAGCGUCCAGGAGAGCAAUAUGGCCCUUUGCUGGUGGAGAACCUGAGACCCUCAAGGAGAAAGUGAAGAAAAUUCUCUCUGCAUACAGACCCCUUCCCAUUUUCCCAUUCUGGGUUGACUAUCCUCCCUCAUAGAUGUGCUCAUGAGUCUUGGAAAUUCUCUUGACUCAUUGCCAUUUAAAAUAUCUGUGUUGCUUCUGAUGAUAGAUGGUUGAUUUAUAAAAUGGUUUGGCUCUCUUUAUGAUAGAAUAUUAUACAGGCAUCAAAAACAAUAAUGUAGGAG
rnacentral:lncRNA from 1 species